GAUGAACGCUGGCGGCGUGCCUAAUACAUGCAAGUCGAGCGAACAGACGAGGAGCUUGCUCCUCUGACGUUAGCGGCGGACGGGUGAGUAACACGUGGAUAACCUACCUAUAAGACUGGGAUAACUUCGGGAAACCGGAGCUAAUACCGGAUAAUAUAUUGAACCGCAUGGUUCAGUAGUGAAAGACGGUUUUGCUGUCACUUAUAGAUGGAUCCGCGCCGCAUUAGCUAGUUGGUAAGGUAACGGCUUACCAAGGCAACGAUGCGUAGCCGACCUGAGAGGGUGAUCGGCCACACGGGAACUGAGACACGGUCCAGACUCCUACGGGAGGCAGCAGUAGGGAAUCUUCCGCAAUGGGCGAAAGCCUGACGGAGCAACGCCGCGUGAGUGAUGAAGGUCUUCGGAUCGUAAAACUCUGUUAUUAGGGAAGAACAAAUGUGUAAGUAACUAUGCACGUCUUGACGGUACCUAAUCAGAAAGCCACGGCUAACUACGUG
rnacentral:rRNA from 1 species